GACGAACGCUGGCGGCGUGCUUAACACAAGCAAGUCGAACGGAAAGGCCCUGCUUUUGUGGGGUGCUCGAGUGGCGAACGGGUGGGUAACACGUGAGUAACCUGCCCUUGACUUUGGGAUAACUUCAGGAAACUGGGGCUAAUACCGGAUAGGAGCUCCUGCUGCAUGGUGGGGGUUGGAAAGUUUCGGCGGUUGGGGAUGGACUCGCGGCUUAUCAGCUUGUUGGUGGGGUAGUGGCUUACCAAGGCUUUGACGGGUAGCCGGCCUGAGAGGGUGACCGGCCACAUUGGGACUGAGAUACGGCCCAGACUCCUACGGGAGGCAGCAGUGGGGAAUAUUGCACAAUGGGCGGAAGCCUGAUGCAGCAACGCCGCGUGCGGGAUGACGGCCUUCGGGUUGUAAACCGCUUUCGCCUGUGACGAAGCGUGAGUGACGGUAAUGGGUAAAGAAGCACCGGCUAACUACGUG
rnacentral:rRNA from 1 species